rnacentral:rRNA from 1 species
GAGUUUGAUCAUGGCUCAGGAUGAACGCUAGCGGGAGGCCUAACACAUGCAAGCCGAGCGGUAUUGUUUCUUCGGAAAUGAGAGAGCGGCGUACGGGUGCGGAACACGUGUGCAACCUGCCUUUAUCUGGGGGAUAGCCUUUCGAAAGGAAGAUUAAUACUCCAUAAUAUAUUGAACGGCAUCGUUUAAUAUUGAAAGCUCCGGCGGAUAGAGAUGGGCACGCGCAAGAUUAGCUAGUUGGUGAGGUAACGGCUCACCAAGGCGAUGAUCUUUAGGGGGCCUGAGAGGGUGAUCCCCCACACUGGUACUGAGACACGGACCAGACUCCUACGGGAGGCAGCAGUGAGGAAUAUUGGUCAAUGGGUGCAAGCCUGAACCAGCCAUCCCGCGUGAAGGACGACUGCCCUAUGGGUUGUAAACUUCUUUUGUAUAGGGAUAAACCUACCCUCGUGAGGGUAGCUGAAGGUACUAUACGAAUAAGCACCGGCUAACUCCGUGCCAGCAGCCGCGGUAAUACGGAGGGUGCAAGCGUUAUCCGGAUUUAUUGGGUUUAAAGGGUCCGUAGGCGGACUUAUAAGUCAGUGGUGAAAGCCUGUCGCUUAACGAUAGAACUGCCAUUGAUACUGUAAGUCUUGAGUAUAUUUGAGGUAGCUGGAAUAAGUAGUGUAGCGGUGAAAUGCAUAGAUAUUACUUAGAACACCAAUUGCGAAGGCAGGUUACCAAGAUAUAACUGACGCUGAGGGACGAAAGCGUGGGGAGCGAGCAGGAUUAGAUACCCUGGUAGU